UGCCGCGUGCAGGAGGAAGGCCCUACGGGUUGUAAACUGCUUUUACCGGGGGAUAAACCCUGCUAUGCGUAGCAAGUUGAAGGUACCCGGUGAAUAAGGAUCCGCUAACUCCGUGCCAGCAGCCGCGGUAAUACGGAGGAUCCGAGCGUUAUCCGGAUUUAUUGGGUUUAAAGGGUGCGUAGGCGGCGCAUUAAGUCAGUGGUGAAAGGUAACCGCUCAACCGGGACACUGCCAUUGAUACUGAUGAGCUGGAAUACAGAUGAAGUGGGCGGAAUGUGUCAAGUAGCGGUGAAAUGCAUAGAUAUGACACAGAACACCGAUUGCGAAGGCAGCUCACUAAAGUGUCACUGACGCUGAAGCACGAAAGCGUGGGGAUCGAACAGGAUUAGAUACCCUGGUAGUCCACGCCCUAAACGAUGAUUACUCGAUGUUAGCGAUAUACGGUUAGCGUCAAAGCGAAAGCGUUAAGUAAUCCACCUGGGGAGUACGGUCGCAAGAUUGAAACUCAAAGGAAUUGACGG
rnacentral:rRNA from 1 species